rnacentral:misc_RNA from 1 species
UACGGAGGGUGCAAGAGUUAAUCGGAAUUACUGGGCGUAAAGCGCGCGUAGGCGGUUUGGUAAGUCGGAUGUGAAUGCCCCGGGCUCAACCUGGGAAUUGCAUUCGAUACUGUCAGACUCGAGUAUGGUAGAGGGAAGUGGAAUUUCCGGUGUAGCGGUGUAAUGCGUAGAUAUCGGAAGGAACACCAGUGGCGAAGGCGGCUCUAUGGUCUGUAACUGACGCUGAGGCGCGAAAGCGUGGGGAGCAAACAGG